rnacentral:rRNA from 1 species
GAGUUUGAUCUUGGCUCAGAACGAACGCUGGCGGCAUGCCUAACACAUGCAAGUCGAACGGGAUCCGGACUUCGGUUCGGUGAGAGUGGCGGACGGGUGAGUAACGCGUGGGAACCUGCCCAUUGGUCUGGGAUAACUGCGGGAAACUGCAGCUAAUACCGGAUGUACCCGAGAGGGGAAAGAUUUAUCGCCGAUGGAGGGGCCCGCGUCAGAUUAGGUAGUUGGUGAGGUAACGGCUCACCAAGCCUACGAUCUGUAGCUGGUCUGAGAGGAUGAUCAGCCACACUGGGACUGAGACACGGCCCAGACUCCUACGGGAGGCAGCAGUGGGGAAUCUUGCGCAAUGGGCGAAAGCCUGACGCAGCAACGCCGCGUGCGGGAUGACGGCCUCGG